rnacentral:rRNA from 1 species
GGGUUGUGAGGUUAAGCGACUAAGCGUACACGGUGGAUGCCCUGGCAGUCAGAGGCGAUGAAGGACGUGCUAAUCUGCGAUAAGCGUCGGUAAGGUGAUAUGAACCGUUAUAACCGGCGAUUUCCGAAUGGGGAAACCCAGUGUGUUUCGACACACUAUCAUUAACUGAAUCCAUAGGUUAAUGAGGCGAACCGGGGGAACUGAAACAUCUAAGUACCCCGAGGAAAAGAAAUCAACCGAGAUUCCCCCAGUAGCGGCGAGCGAACGGGGAGCAGCCCAGAGCCUGAAUCAGUGUGUGUGUUAGUGGAAGCGUCUGGAAAGGCGCGCGAUACAGGGUGACAGCCCCGUACACAAAAAUGCACAUAUUGUGAGCUCGAUGAGUAGGGCGGGACACGUGGUAUCCUGUCUGAAUAUGGGGGGACCAUCCUCCAAGGCUAAAUACUCCUGACUGACCGAUAGUGAACCAGUACCGUGAGGGAAAGGCGAAAAGAACCCCGGCGAGGGGAGUGAAAAAGAACCUGAAACCGUGUACGUACAAGCAGUGGGAGCACGCUUAGGCGUGUGACUGCGUACCUUUUGUAUAAUGGGUCAGCGACUUAUAUUCUGUAGCAAGGUUAACCGAAUAGGGGAGCCGAAGGGAAACCGAGUCUUAACUGGGCGUUAAGUUGCAGGGUAUAGACCCGAAACCCGGUGAUCUAGCCAUGGGCAGGUUGAAGGUUGGGUAACACUAACUGGAGGACCGAACCGACUAAUGUUGAAAAAUUAGCGGAUGACUUGUGGCUGGGGGUGAAAGGCCAAUCAAACCGGGAGAUAGCUGGUUCUCCCCGAAAGCUAUUUAGGUAGCGCCUCGUGAAUUCAUCUCCGGGGGUAGAGCACUGUUUCGGCAAGGGGGUCAUCCCGACUUACCAACCCGAUGCAAACUGCGAAUACCGGAGAAUGUUAUCACGGGAGACACACGGCGGGUGCUAACGUCCGUCGUGAAGAGGGAAACAACCCAGACCGCCAGCUAAGGUCCCAAAGUCAUGGUUAAGUGGGAAACGAUGUGGGAAGGCCCAGACAGCCAGGAUGUUGGCUUAGAAGCAGCCAUCAUUUAAAGAAAGCGUAAUAGCUCACUGGUCGAGUCGGCCUGCGCGGAAGAUGUAACGGGGCUAAACCAUGCACCGAAGCUGCGGCAGCGACGCUUAUGCGUUGUUGGGUAGGGGAGCGUUCUGUAAGCCUGUGAAGGUGUACUGUGAGGUAUGCUGGAGGUAUCAGAAGUGCGAAUGCUGACAUAAGUAACGAUAAAGCGGGUGAAAAGCCCGCUCGCCGGAAGACCAAGGGUUCCUGUCCAACGUUAAUCGGGGCAGGGUGAGUCGACCCCUAAGGCGAGGCCGAAAGGCGUAGUCGAUGGGAAACAGGUUAAUAUUCCUGUACUUGGUGUUACUGCGAAGGGGGGACGGAGAAGGCUAUGUUGGCCGGGCGACGGUUGUCCCGGUUUAAGCGUGUAGGCUGGUUUUCCAGGCAAAUCCGGAAAAUCAAGGCUGAGGCGUGAUGACGAGGCACUACGGUGCUGAAGCAACAAAUGCCCUGCUUCCAGGAAAAGCCUCUAAGCAUCAGGUAACAUCAAAUCGUACCCCAAACCGACACAGGUGGUCAGGUAGAGAAUACCAAGGCGCUUGAGAGAACUCGGGUGAAGGAACUAGGCAAAAUGGUGCCGUAACUUCGGGAGAAGGCACGCUGAUAUGUAGGUGAAGCGACUUGCUCGUGGAGCUGAAAUCAGUCGAAGAUACCAGCUGGCUGCAACUGUUUAUUAAAAACACAGCACUGUGCAAACACGAAAGUGGACGUAUACGGUGUGACGCCUGCCCGGUGCCGGAAGGUUAAUUGAUGGGGUUAGCGCAAGCGAAGCUCUUGAUCGAAGCCCCGGUAAACGGCGGCCGUAACUAUAACGGUCCUAAGGUAGCGAAAUUCCUUGUCGGGUAAGUUCCGACCUGCACGAAUGGCGUAAUGAUGGCCAGGCUGUCUCCACCCGAGACUCAGUGAAAUUGAACUCGCUGUGAAGAUGCAGUGUACCCGCGGCAAGACGGAAAGACCCCGUGAACCUUUACUAUAGCUUGACACUGAACAUUGAGCCUUGAUGUGUAGGAUAGGUGGGAGGCUUUGAAGUGUGGACGCCAGUCUGCAUGGAGCCGACCUUGAAAUACCACCCUUUAAUGUUUGAUGUUCUAACGUUGACCCGUAAUCCGGGUUGCGGACAGUGUCUGGUGGGUAGUUUGACUGGGGCGGUCUCCUCCUAAAGAGUAACGGAGGAGCACGAAGGUUGGCUAAUCCUGGUCGGACAUCAGGAGGUUAGUGCAAUGGCAUAAGCCAGCUUGACUGCGAGCGUGACGGCGCGAGCAGGUGCGAAAGCAGGUCAUAGUGAUCCGGUGGUUCUGAAUGGAAGGGCCAUCGCUCAACGGAUAAAAGGUACUCCGGGGAUAACAGGCUGAUACCGCCCAAGAGUUCAUAUCGACGGCGGUGUUUGGCACCUCGAUGUCGGCUCAUCACAUCCUGGGGCUGAAGUAGGUCCCAAGGGUAUGGCUGUUCGCCAUUUAAAGUGGUACGCGAGCUGGGUUUAGAACGUCGUGAGACAGUUCGGUCCCUAUCUGCCGUGGGCGCUGGAGAACUGAGGGGGGCUGCUCCUAGUACGAGAGGACCGGAGUGGACGCAUCACUGGUGUUCGGGUUGUCAUGCCAAUGGCACUGCCCGGUAGCUAAAUGCGGAAGAGAUAAGUGCUGAAAGCAUCUAAGCACGAAACUUGCCCCGAGAUGAGUUCUCCCUGACUCCUUGAGAGUCCUGAAGGAACGUUGAAGACGACGACGUUGAUAGGCCGGGUGUGUAAGCGCAGCGAUGCGUUGAGCUAACCGGUACUAAUGAACCGUGAGGCUUAACCUUACAACGCCGAAGCUGUU